GACAGAGGGGGCAAGCGUUGUCCGGAAUUACUGGGCGUACAGGGCACGCAGGUGGCUGCAUAGGUGGCGUGUGAAAGCCCCGCGCUUAACGCGGGGAGGCCACGCCAAACGGUGCGGCUCGAGCGAUGCGGAGGGUGGUGGAAUUGCCGGUGUAGUGGUGAAAUGCGUAGAGAUCGGCAGGAACACCAAGGACGAAGGUAACUACCUGGGCAUCAGCUGACACUCAUGUGCGACAGCGUGGGGAGCGAACCGG
rnacentral:rRNA from 1 species